rnacentral:rRNA from 1 species
AGUAAUGUAUGGGGAUCUGCCUGAUGGCGGGGGGUAACUACUGGAAACGGUAGCUAAUACCGCAUAAUGUCUGCGGACCAAAGCGGGGGACCUCCGGGCCUCGCGCCAUCAGAUGAACCCAUAUGGGAUUAGCUAGUAGGUGGGGUAACGGCUCACCUAGGCGACGAUCCCUAGCUGGUCUGAGAGGAUGACCAGCCACACUGGAACUGAGACACGGUCCAG